rnacentral:rRNA from 1 species
UACGUAGGGUGCGAGCGUUAAUCGGAAUUACUGGGCGUAAAGCGUGCGCAGGCGGUCCGCAAAGUCUGAUGUGAAAAGCCCCGGGCUCAACCUGGGGAACUGCAUUGGAAACUAACGGGCUCGAGUGUGGCAGAGGGGGAUGGAAUUCCGCGUGUAGCAGUGAAAUGCGUAGAUAUGCGGAGGAACACCGAUGGCGAAGGCAAUCCCCUGGGCCUGCACUGACGCUCAUGCACGAAAGCGUGGGGAGCAAACAGG